UACAGAGGAAUAGCCUUUAGAAAUGAAGAUUAAUGCCUCAUAGUAUUGUAGACUGGCAUCAGUUUAUAAUUAAAGAUUUAUCGGUAAAAGAUGGCUAUGCGUCCUAUUAGUUAGUUGGUAAGGUAACGGCUUACCAAGACAGCGAUAGGUAGGGGUCCUGAGAGGGAGAUCCCCCACACUGGUACUGAGACACGGACCAGACUCCUACGGGAGGCAGCAGUGAGGAAUAUUGGACAAUGGAGGAGACUCUGAUCCAGCCAUGCCGCGUGUAGGAAGAAUGCCCUAUGGGUUGUAAACUACUUUUAUACAGGAAGAAACACUGGUAUGUAUACCAG
rnacentral:rRNA from 1 species